rnacentral:rRNA from 1 species
GUGGGGAAUAUUGCGCAAUGGGGGAAACCCUGACGCAGCAACGCCGCGUGAUUGAAGAAGGCCUUCGGGUUGUAAAGAUCUUUAAUUGGGGACGAAAUAAAUGAUGGUACCCAAAGAAUAAGCUCCGGCUAACUACGUGCCAGCAGCCGCGGUAAUACGUAGGGAGCAAGCGAUAUCCGGAUUUACUGGGUGUAAAGGGCGAGUAGGCGGGCCGACAAGUUGGGAGUGAAAUCCGGGGGCUUAACCCCCGAACUGCUUUCAAAACUGUUGGUCUUGAGUGAUGGAGAGGCAGGCGGAAUUCCCAGUGUAGUGGUGAAAUGCGUAGAUAUUGGGAGGAACACCAGUGGCGAAGGCGGCCUGCUGGACAUUAACUGACGCUGAGGCGCGAAAGCGUGGGGAGCAAACAGGAUUAGAAACCCGAGUAGUCC